ensembl:lincRNA
ACCGAGCAACUGGCCAAGAUGAAAGAUUUCCCAUCUGACUUUCCCAAGCCCACCUCUCCCGACCCAUCAAGUACCUGGUACUGGCGUAAGACGUCCCACUCCUCCCCUGGGCGGAGCCGACACCACAGAACCCGGAUUCCCAACACCUCCUCUUCCUCUGACCUUCAGCUCCCACCCGCUCCGAGGAAGAGGAGACACACAAGAUGGAGGGAGGAAUGGCAUCCUACCCUGUUGCAACGCCGAAGUCGCGCUGCCGCAGGGGGCGCAUUGGGGUCCAGCCGUCCCCACAGCGCAGAUCACAGGUAGUCGGAUCUUUCCCGCUGGCGCGCGGCCUCAGCCAGCUCUCACUCUAUAUCACUCUCCCUGGCGCCAGGACCAGACUCCAACACGCUUAGGAAGACAGCGGUCCCCCUUGGCUAAUGCCGAGAGAGUCUCCAUUACGCAAGCUUUCCCACCAAACCCAUCGGUCGGUGCGCCUCUGAUCACAGGCCAAGGGCCUGCGCACCCCCAAAGACAACCGGGUUCCCCGGAAGGCCCCCAGGCUGAAAUGAGCACCACCGGGAAUGGCCAGCCUCGAAAACAACUUGGGGGCAUGGACACCACAAGACAGGGUCGCAGGUCUCAACGAGGCGGAUGCCUGGUGUCUGAGGGGGGACAGGCCGGGCCUGCCCUCACCUUGGCAUCCACCUCAUCAGGAAGCGUCUGGGUACGGGCCCCGAAGGAUGCUCCGCGGCCCACCUUCCUCCCUAGGCCGCAAGGAGCAACACCCCGGCGCCGGCCAGCCCCGGCGGGCACCGGCGCCACUGGCCACGGAACUCAGCUCUGGCAGUGGACCCUCCUCACUGGCGUGCAGUGUGGCCGAGGGAGCCUCCCGGGGCCGAGGACCCAACUAGGCCGUCCCCUGGGGGAGCAGGCAGGACUAGGACCGGUGCCGGACGGAUCCGAGGUCUCUGGAGGCCGAGGAAGCAGGGUCCGCCGCCAGUUCGAGCCCUGGAAGCCCCAGAGACAGGCGCCAGGUCUAGCUGGACAGCCAGGACGCCUGGCGGUUGCCGAACAGGAAGCCAUGGCCCGGGAGCCUCGGUGGGCGGCCAUGAUCUGGGCGGGACUAGCGGAGGGCCUCCGCCAAGGAGCCUGGGCUGUCGGGGCCGUGGGCAGUUUGCCUGGCUCGUGGACCGGUUUCCGUGGGAGCCACUCGGUGAGUCAGUCCCAAGCCACUCCUCCCCAGGCGAGCACAGGGACCGGUGCUCGAUUGCCAAGCGGGUUCCUCUUGAUGGCAGUAUUGCUCCAGAAAUGCCCACCUGCCCUUCCCCCAUGUCCACUCCCUCCGCCCUCUGCGGAGGAAAAAACGCCAAGAGCGCUCUGCACAUGGCCCUUCAGCAUCUCGGCUGCUUUGGGCCAGCUCUGGCCCACCUGCCGGACCCUGUCCUUGGCAGACGGGACUCGGCAGGGUCCUUCUACUAGCCUGCCUUCCUGACAAACCAGAAAGCGGUCCCCUUGGGCCGCCCUGGGGAUGCAGCCGAACUAACCGCAUCCCUAACCAUGCCUUUGGCGUGGGGAGGAUGGUGGAACCCACAGGGAAGAGAAGGAGAUUGGGCACAGAGUAGGAUGCCAGCCCUAGCUCUGCCCUCCGGGACACAUUCGCACUUGGGCGUACUCACGGGUCACUGCAAGGCCAGCUUGACCAGGGGUCAAAGGCGACCGGCGUCCCACUGACCCCUGGGGUUUUGUCCUCAGAUUUGAGGUGAACCUGGAAUUCCGUUAUAGCCGGACAUGUCCCAGGCCCUUCUGCCAUGGAGGUAGCUGCCAUGGACUGUGUAAAGAUCCCACACCACCUUUGGUCACACACGAGGGGAGCUUACCACCCCGAACCCACCUGUCAUCCUCACAUCUGGGCUGUUUCCUACUAUCCUCAGCUCUUCCUAGAAGACUUGUCCUAGAUAACCUAGAGAAUCAUCCAUGUCCUUGAGGAGUUGUGUGGGCGAUGGGGAAGCGGGUAGAUUGUCCCAGCCCCAAGUGUACGGAUCUUCCUCCCCAAACAUAUUCUGUGAGAGAAACCCUUUGUUGACCUUUUCGGGCAAUGAAUUUGUGGCCGGAAGCCUGCUGUCUGCUUCAGGAACACAGUGACAUUGAAUGCUCUUCUGAAGACAGAUUUAACAGUAGCAACACACUAAGCACGCUGCUAGCUUCCUGGCCCUUUCCAGUAUUCUUGUUCCCCAUGGACCUUCCUUUGGAUUUUUCUACAACAUUGUUGUCUCUCUCUGUCUGUCUCUGUCUAUCUCUCUGUCUCUCUUCUGCCACAUUCCGGCCCAACGGCCUCUCAC